AUUUUCGCAUGUCCAUUUAUUGAUGAGCCUGUAGGAGUAUGGAAUUGCAAGUAGUGCUGGACUCAAAAAGACCCAUUUCAAUUUCUAGCUGUGCAGUCCUAGACAAGUGCUCACUUUAUAAAAAUAAGGCUAUCAAGAGUAUUAAAUGUGUGCUUCUGGAAGGGAUGAGGAAUGCACAUGUGAAUAUAUGCUUUGCAAAGGUUAAAGCUCUUUAUAAACAUCAGCCAUUACUGUUAGUGUAUUGGACGGAAUAGUUAACCACUUGAGGCCUUGGGGAUUAAGGAAGAACAUCGCACUCCCCAACCCGGACCAACAGACUAGGAUGGGCUUGGAGAAAGAGAGGGAGAAGGGUCCCUCCCCCAGUAGCUCCCGGGGCUGCGUGCGUGGGACCGUACACUUCUGACGUACACACUCGUCCCACCCUUCGGCGAGCAGCAGCCAAUCACCGGUUUCCCUUUAAGCCGCCGGUCCGGUCAAGAUGGCGAAGGCGCUCGAGAAGGCUCUCGCUUGGUGAUAGUGCCGGUGUUCUCCCCCGCCCCCACCUCCCGGGAAAGAUGUGAAGGGAAAAGAAAGAGAAAGACCGUGUGGCGGGAGGGGGAGGCCCCGGCCGAGGGACGAUGCUGAGUCGGCGGAGGAAGCUCAGGGAAUCUCCCGGACCCGUAGGGUCGCCGGCCCCGCCGCCUCCGCCGACGCCGCCGACCCCCUUGGCCGGGGACGAAGAGAGACCCCUCAGUGUCUCUGGGCGGCGGCUGCGAGGCCGGCGGCGGGCGCUGAGAGAAGUGGCCCAGGCUUCGGAGAGCUGCGCUCCUGUCAGUAAAAGUGCCGAGGAAAUGUGUUUGUAUAAAACUCCAAAGAGAUUGUUGCAAUCCAGUUUUCGGUCACCUGUCUUCAGUUCCCCUUGUAAUGAUAGUGAUGGACCACAAGAAAUAUUUUGGGAUCCAAAUUCUCCAACAACCUGUCAAUUAGAUGAAAGAAGAAAUAAACAGCAUGACAGAAGAUGUAGUGUUGCAAUUUCAGAUAUUGUUAACCGUAUAGCUCCUCAGGUAAAUAAAAUUUAAUAGUUUAAAUUUUAUUAAUAAAAACAUUUGUUAACUCAGUAUUCCUAGCCAAGUCACUAA